UUACUUUCAGGGCUGCAGUCUAUUGGCUCUCUGGACUGAAAACUGGACCCGCAAAACAUGUUCCCUGCAAUUGCAGCGUUUAUCUCAUCUGGAAAAGUGCUCACCCAUUGCUGCCCCUUACAAGCCAAACCAAGCAGUUAAAGUGUCACUUAACAUUCUAGAGAAUGUGAAAUAUAUUGUACAUUGUCAACUCCCCAAAACCAUAAAACUAACUUUAUGGACCUCACGUGACUUUUGAGAGCCAGUGAGGGGUAUCUGUCUGAGGUCUGGGCGAUUUUUACGAUCUAACUUCUAGAUAAAACCCUAUCCAUUUGACAUCUAAAUGUCAUACCCACUUUUGGUAUAGUUUGCUAUUGGUAAAAAAAAAAAAAAAAAGGAAAAAAAAAAAAUACCAAGGAAAGGCGAGCAAAUGGUUUGGGAUCUGACAGUCCACUUCACAUCCCUCUCAAAAUCACUUAAGAAGUACCUAAACAGAGGGAGAUUAAGUUUGAGUUUCCCUCGGUGCAUGGCGUGGACCCAAACUUACGUAGAUCGGCUUUAUUGGUAUGCGAGGAAAACAAAUAUGGGAUUGAAAGAUUGAACGAUGGCUGGAGAAGAACGAGGAGAAAAAAAAGCAUCGGAUGAAAGCCUGAAGUUCACAGCUUUGCAGGAGCCGCACCGCUCAGACAUUUGAUUAGAGUUACGCAAUAUUGAUAGCGCUACCAAAACAGCGACUGUCUGACAAGAUCGGCUCCGCAUGCAAAUUCUGAGCUAAGAAAUGGGAUGUCCUGAUAAUUCCGUGCGUGAGUACAUCUGCUGAAAUGUUUGCUCUAAUAUUUGCUCACAGUUCUCACGGUUGAUGUGCGAAUAAAUGCCUCGAAAUAGUUUGGACACCCCCUCGCCUCCCUCCCCCUCCUUUCCCCCCUCGGAUUUGCCGUAGUAAAAUACUGCUUAUAUUGUGCACUUAUGGCUAAAGAAGGUUAUUAGGGCGGUUUAUAUGUCGACAUCAUGUAAGAGAUCAAAACGCAUUGCAACUGGCCACUUGCUAAUUGCUUGUUGCUGACAUUAUAGACGCUCUAUAGAUGAAAUGAAUACAUCUUGCUUCUUAGGAGAAGGGCGAAGCCUCUCUUGGCCCCCGCAAAUGGGGAGAAAAAGGAGAAGAGAGGACACGAUUUCCAAACCGAAAAAUAGAUAUAUCCAAAAACAUAAAGAGUGUAACAGUGUUCAUCUUCCGAAGGGUCCGGCCAGAGGAAUAAUUGGUUUGCCACCUAAAAUGAAUGCGAACACGAAAGGGGACCUUACACUAUGUUGUAUCCUAGAGAACCGUACCUUCAGCACGGAGGUGGUUUCUAUUCCCAUGUAAAUGGCUCUGGCAAAAUAAAGGGCUGAAUAAAGAAAUGAAUGGAAGGUGGCUUAUGGGCAUGGCCACUUCGCAGACACUCUCCUGCCUUUCCCGAUAUAAAUCUGAGACCUAUUUCGCGAAUCUCUUUUCUUUGGCCGCCUCCAGCGCCAGCCAAACCGGGAGGGACACAGACACAGAGCAUAAAGGACUCAGCAGCAAGCUCGUACAGUAGCCCAUAAGUUAGGUCUCUCUCUGACAGUGCCCAUUGGCAUAUCUUUAUUCAGCCUUUGGCCUCAUCUCCUCAAAAACAGGCUCAGAGAAGGGGCAAUAAAGAGGGAAAGUCGCAGGAGACGCCAGAAGGUGGUAGAGAGCGUUUCACUGAGCGCUGGGAACCCGUCUUUGCUCUCUGACUGACAUCACUCAGCUGGCAGGGCAUCAAUAAAGAUAAAGGGACGGAUUUACAGUACGCACAAUCACGGCUAUCUGCCCAGGAAGGUCCUACUUUUCUCUUGCUUCGCUUUUUCUGGCCAGCAAACGUCAUCCCCACAAAGCAGAGGGAGGCAGAUAGAUGAGGGGAUUAAAACAACACCCAAAUAUUUCGAAAUGCAAACAGAACAGAGCAUUUCUUGUGCUAGAGUUAAACCGCCUAAGAACUUGGUGGAAAGUUCAGUGCAGUUGGUUCCAAUAAAAAAUGAAACUCUUUUUUCAUGUGGAGCUGGAAUUCCCGAUCCUUCUGAAGUGAGAACACAGCGGGGGUUUCCCUACCCGGGGACUUAUUGCAGCCAUAAAGUCAAGCAAACACCACGAAAACACUUGAAAAAAACCCUUGUUCCUGGAGUCAGACAUAGAAAGCAGUUGGCAGCAGAGCAGCCUCUCUGUAAUGCUCAGCCACAGCCAAAUCACAUCGGGGGGAAACCCGACAGAAGUCCUCUGUGCUCCGCUGUUACCGUGUUUAAAACAAUGAGCCCUGAAGGUGUAAAAUAAAUACCCCCCUCUCC